ACCGAGAUAGCUCACUUGGUAGAGCAGCUGCCCGGUAGGCGGAGAGUCGUCGGUUCGACUCCGACUCGCGGCU
rnacentral:tRNA from 1 species